AGCGAACGCUGGCGGCAGGCUUAACACAUGCAAGUCGAGCGGACCUUUCGGGGUCAGCGGCGGACGGGUGAGUAACGCGUGGGAACGUGCCUUCCGGUUCGGAAUAACCCUGGGAAACUAGGGCUAAUACCGGAUACGCUCUUAUGGGGAAAGGUUUACUGCCGGAAGAUCGGCCCGCGUCUGAUUAGCUAGUUGGUGGGGUAACGGCCUACCAAGGCGACGAUCAGUAGCUGGUCUGAGAGGAUGAUCAGCCACACUGGGACUGAGACACGGCCCAGACUCCUACGGGAGGCAGCAGUGGGGAAUAUUGGACAAUGGGCGCAAGCCUGAUCCAGCCAUGCCGCGUGAGUGAUGAAGGCCUUAGGGUUGUAAAGCUCUUUUAUCCGGGACGAUAAUGACGGUACCGGAGGAAUAAGCCCCGGCUAACUUCGUG
rnacentral:rRNA from 1 species